UACGUAGGGGGCAAGCGUUGUCCGGAUUUAUUGGGCGUAAAGAGCGUGUAGGCGGCCGUGUAGGUCCGUUGUGAAAACUCGAGGCUCAACCUCGAGACGUCGAUGGAAACCACACGGCUAGAGUCCGGAAGAGGAGAGUGGAAUUCCUGGUGUAGCGGUGAAAUGCGCAGAUAUCAGGAGGAACACCAAUUGCGAAGGCAGCUCGCUGGGACGUUACUGACGCUGAGACGCGAAAGCGUGGGGAGCAAACAGG
rnacentral:rRNA from 1 species